GAUGAAGAACGUAGCGAAAUGCGAUAAGUAAUGUGAAUUGCAGAAUUCAGUGAAUCAUCGAAUCUUUGAACGCACAUUGCGCCCGCCAGUAUUCUGGCGGGCAUGCCUGUUCGAGCGUCAUUUCAACCCUCAAGCACAGCUUGGUGUUGGGACUCGCGUUAAUUCGCGUUCCCCAAAUUGAUUGGCGGUCACGUCGAGCUUCCAUAGCGUAGUAGUAAAACCCUAGUUACUGGUAAUCGUCGCGGCCACGCCGUUAAACCCCAACUUCUGAAUGUUGACCUCGGAUCAGGUAGGAAUACCCGCUGAACUUAAGCAUAUCAAUAAGCGGAGGA
rnacentral:misc_RNA from 1 species